UUGGUUCCGGUUCACCUCACGGCAACUCGUGGGGACCCGGCACA
rfam:Ruaniaceae bacterium KH17 genome assembly, contig: Ga0066873_113